GGGUUAAACAGAGAUGGAGUAAAGAUCAGGGAAGACCUUUGAAGAUAAAGGGAGAUAUUGAUUUGUGUAUCCGGACAAGACAUUCAUUAAGCUGAUUAUAUAUAAGUUAUAACUAUAUAUGCGUGUAAGUAUAAUUAAUUUAAAAUCAUAUUAUAUUAGAGCCAACGAUUCUGACCGUUGACUUUAAUACCAUUGCGCCAGUGUUUUUAAAACCGGACCGGAAGCUGAACCGAAUUUUUUUUGGGUCAUAGUUGAAUAUGGUUCGACCGGGUCAAACCUAGUUUAAUACUUUGGUUUAAUAUUUUUUUAGUAUAUAAAUUUUAAAGUAAUGUUAUUAAAUAUGAUACAUAACUAAAAUAUAAAUAAGUUUUAAACAUAAGACAUUAUAAAUAUAACUUAGUUUUAUGUUUAAUGGAUGAUUUAUAGAUUUUUAAUAGUUUUAGUGGCUUUUAUUGGUUUAAUAAUUUUGAAAUUCAAUCCAUCUACAUGGUCGGUUCAUGGUCGAACCAAUUACUAGACCCAACCCGGCUAUAUAACCGGUUCAUGGUCGAACCCGGUCCAACCAUCGGGUCGGUCCGGUUUAAAAAACACUGCAUUGCGGUUAAGGUUAGGUAUAUUAUCUGUUAAAUUUGAUUCGAUCUGUUUAUUCAUUUCGAGUCUAUUUAGAAAAUCUGGAUAUCUAUAAAAAAUUUGAAUCAAAGUAAAUAGCAAAAUGUAAUGUAAGAAAAAACCUAAUCAAAAAUAUUAUUUUUUAGAAAGCUAGAUAUCCAAUACGAUCCGUAUAUUUAUAAAUAUGUAACGUAAACCAUUAUGUUUAUACAUAUUUGACGAAGUAAUUUUUUAUUUUAAACUAUUAAAAAAAAAUAUUUUGGAUUAUUGUGUAUCCAAUUAAUUUUUAUGUUGAAUCAAAUGUCAACAUAUGAGUUUUUUGUUAGGCUUGUCAAUACUGAAUUUUUUUUUGCUUUACAGUUUCGGUUAAAGAUGUUAAUUUGUUAGUAUGGUAUUAUUAUUUUAUUUUAUGAUUAAUAAUAUAAAAGAUUGUUUAUUAAAUUUUCCGAAUUGAAACGAAUCACAAAUAUAAAUAUUUGUUCGAGAACAGAUCAAAAGUAUUCUAAAAUUUUCGGAUAUUCGGGCCUAAUUAUAGUUUUGAAGUAGAACGGUCGUUCUCGUUGAAUAGCAACAUGACAUGGCUCAGGUAUAUAUCAUUGCUUAUUAACAGUUUAAUUUUCUAAGAAAUCAUAAGUAUUUCUCUACUAAAUCUCUUCUUCUUUAAAAUUUUAGUUGCAAACUCCUUCUGUAAUCUGUAUCUACCUUUUAAACGUUUGUUUUAAAAUUUUAUGGUUGUAAUGAUCAUUUGGUAGAUCGUAUCCAAAACGAAUUUGUAAUAUAAUUAAUUCGAUAGAGAGUUCUUUAUUUUUGUUCAUCUUUGAACUUUGAAUAUUACUGCUGUGACCAUGCAAAGUUGGCUGCAGAUGGUCCAUUUACGCAAUAAGAAAUUUUACAAAUGUUCAAAACUAUCGGCUUCUUUUAAUUAAACCCACUUACAGUCUGCUGUAACCACUAAUCUAUUUGUUGUUUGUGUGUUUAUAAUGAUUAUCAACGACAUUGUAUUGUUAUGUAUAUUAUAUGCAUAAACUAUAUUAUUUGCGAAGAAUAAACAAAGCAACAUAGAAUUUUACAUACAAAUACAUAUACAAAAUAGUCCACACACUAAUUAUAUAUGUAGUAAAUGAUAUUUAUAUAAUGUGUACAUGCGCCACAACAUUAGAAAACUUGUAAACUCUAAUUGUUUAUCAAAAAGUCAAAAGCCUUUUAAUACAAAAAAAAUCGAAUAGAAAACCAAAAUAGUUGUUUCGAAAUACAAAGCUGAAACAUAGCACAACUUCUAUAGUUAAUUCAGACAAGGAGAGGCUCAGAAGGCGUCUAUCUUCCUAACAAGGUAAACCCCAAACGUAUUUCCAGUUUAUAAUAAAUCAUUUUGUCUUUUUUUUUGUGUGGAAUAUAUCAAUAUUUCAGGUUUAAUAUCUCACAGAAUUAGAUCCAAACGGUGCUAAUAAACGCUUUUACACACCCACGCAAAAUAUGAAUUUAAGAACAGAAAAUGAAAUAGGCACAUUGAUUUAAUAGUUAUGAUUCAUCAACUGUUCAUCUCGUCAAAGAUUUGUCAUUUGUUCCUUCGUAGCAACCGUUAAUUGUUGUCACUGUUCUGUUUUUUUUUCUUUAGCUUUAGGUUGUUUCAUCUGUUGAAAUAGCUUAAACCUAAUCUAGGAAUCUAAGAGCAUUUUUACUCUCUUUUUUUUUUUUUGCAGUUUUUAGCUUCAAAUUUGUAUUUAUGCAGAUUGGAUACAAUUCUUUUUAAAUACUUUCAUUAACUAUUAAUGAUAUUUCCAUCUUUAGCAAAUAAAAAACUGUCAUUUUAUUUAUCUUUAUUAUGCAUGUCACAAAAUUAGUUUUGAAUAAUUAUGCUUUUUCAAAUAUAUUUUUCGUUGUAAAUUUAUAAAUACGUCACGGAUGUAAGUAUUAAAAAUAUGAUUUUAAAAGGUAAUUCUUUGCCGUCUUUGUUAUAUUCCAACAUAUACUCUAUUUGAAAAAUUCACAAUGUAAUAAUUUCAACUGCUGUACACAAUUAUUUUAGGUUGAAAAUUACAUAUGAGUUCUAUUCUUCUCCCUUUUAAUUGGUUUAGAAAGAAAAUGGGCGGCUGUUCAAAAAAAAGAAAGAGAAAGUGGGCUCAUGUUUAAAAUAAUAGGCGUAAGAACUAAGCCCAAACAUUACGUAGAAUAGAAGUCCAAAGUAAAGAUCAACAAGUCCUAGAGCACAACUAGAACAUGAUAAUAUUAUAAAAUGGUAAGUGAAAAGCUGAGGCAUCGGGAUUAUAAGAUCAUGCGCAAAGGCACCGCACGCGCACUUUCACAUACACAUUUGGAUGUAAGUGUGCUACUGUUUAGGGCCUGUCAUAUUUAACGGAGGCAAACUGUUGUGCUUCGGGAAAGAAAAUCAAAUUAAUUUGAUAAUGUAUGAAACUAUAUGGCCUUCUUUCUUACAUUUCUUGGAUCUCCCGCAUCUCUUACAGUAAUACUUCUAUGUUCCUUUGUUUUGUCUGUUCGUUGUCCCUCGCAAUAUAUUUAAUUGUUCGUAUCAACUAUUAAGUGGUCUCUAUUUACUUGUGAAUUAUAGUAUAGUACUUAGAAGAUUAACUUAUUUCUAAACAUUUAUUAGUUGCUUCAAGCGACAGCAUUCCCCCUCUCGUCAAUAGGAACAUAUGAUCACGCAUGCCAUUUUCUCGUUCACGAAUCACCGACAUACAAAUGUACUACUUCACCUGUCUUCGUGACAUAAUUCCAAUAUAUGUGCGGAUGUUUGGUUAAACAUUGGCAUACUCGCUUGGUGUUUUUAAAUUCACCAGUCUCUUUGUACAAAGUAAUCAUGUAAAUUAUAACUAAUUAUUAACAAUUUCAUAUCAUAAGAUAAAUGGAAAUAUACUGUAUCUAACAAGCUAUUGAGAAGUUAGAAAAACAUUUAGGGUACUUGCAUUAGUGAUCUUUGACCAUAACUUUUAACCAAAAAAAGAAAAAAAUCAACGAAGGAAAGUAUCUAUAUAUAAUAGCAAACCCAAAUUUUGUUUUCUAUGAUGUCAGCAUUUGUUUAUAGGAAAAUAAAAUAAAGAUCUAAUGGUUCAGAUUGGUUUGGUUUUUAAUCCAAGGAUUAUGUUCUUGCUAGGUGAUGUCAUCUUUUUUAAAAUAGAAUUUAAUCCAAUGGUUGAGAUUAGUACAUGUUUUAAUCCAAGAGUUGAGAUUAGACUUACCAUUUGUACUGACGAAGUCGAAGACGACGCUACCAAAGCGUUGUGUCGGUGGCGAAGCAUUGCGUAUGUUAAAGGAGUCGUGACCCAUGUUACCAUUAACAUUCUCGAACAUUGGAGCUUGCCAUUAACAUUCUCGAUCAUUGGAGCUUCGUUUAUGAAGGCAUACCAAGGCCAACAGGGAAUGGAGGUUAAGCAUACAUCGGAGGCUAUUUAUGUGUACGUUUCGAAUGUGAAGAGCAAGGUGAUAUCUUCUGGCUGAUAGGUGGCGAGUUUCAAGAUGGUAAGGAUCUCAACAACAAGUAUGACGACUGCGUCUUCAACUGAAGCUGCCAUGAUGCCUUAAAUGCCGAUUGGAUAAUUAAGCUUUGUUCUCCAUGCCAAAAACUCGACGAUAAGAAGAAGGGUUUGGACAUCUCCUUGCCCAACAUAUUCGAAGUAGAAUAAUGCAGAAACAUCAUCACAUAUAAAUACUAAAACUUUAUUUGUUUAUCUUAUAUCUUAAUUUAGAAAAAGAAUGAGACUUGGAUUGUUUUAUAUUACAAAUAGAUUUAGUGUAAUCCAAAGCUUGAUAUAUGGUCAAAAUAAUUUUUAAAAGAAUUGAAAUAAUGGGUGAUUCAAGAAUUAUCCAAAUUCACAUGAUUACAAUCAUGAACAAAUCGUGUGAGGUUAUAUUUUCAAUAUAUAGUAGUUUUUUCGGUGGGAGCA